CCCAUUCUCAGAUCUCCAGCUGCGUGCUGGGAGAACCACUGCUCUCUUCAAAGCUGUCAGACAGGGACAUUUAAGUCUGCAGAGGUUACUGCUGUCUUUUUGUUUGUCUGUGCCCUGCCCCCAGAGGUGGAGCCUACAGAGGCAGGCAGGCCUCCUUUAGCUGUGGUGGGCUCCACCCAGUUCGAGCUUCCCCACUGCUUUGUUUACCUAAGCAAGCCUGGGCAAUGGCGGGCGCCCCUCCCCCAGCCUCGCUGCUGCCUUGCAGUUUGAUCUCAGACUGCUGUGCUAGCAAUCAGCGAGACUCCGUGGGCGUAGGACCCUCCGAGCAAGGUGCAGGAUAUAAUCUCGUGGUGCAUCAUUUUUUAAGCCGGUCCGAGAAGCACAAUAUUCGGGUGGGAGUGACCUGAUUUUCCAGGUGAGUCCGUCACCCCUUUCUUUGACUCGGAAAGGGAACUCCCUGACCCCUUGCACUUCCCAAGUGAGGCAAUGCCUCGCCCUGCUUCGGCUCACGCAUGGUGCGCACACCCACUGACCUGCACCCACUGUCUGGCACUCCCUAGUGAGAUGAACCCAGUACCUCAGAUGGAAAUGCAGAAAUCACCCGUCUUCUGCGUCGCUCACGCUGGGAGCUGUAGACUGGAGCUGUUCCUAUUCGGCCAUCUUGGCUCGCGAACUCCACCUUCUACAAUGGGAUGAUGCGGCAUGAAUGUUCUCACUGGAUACCAGUGUAAUGCUCUUGGACUUUUCAAACUUCACAACUAUGAAGAACCUGAGUCCUUGACAGGUCAAGAAAUUUACCCAAGAUAACAUAGCUACUAGUUUUCAAAGCCUGAACAAAGCCUGAAGACCAAAGAUCACAUAGGUAGUUGUUUCAAAGCCGAAGGACCAUAUAGUUGGCCAGGGGACCAAGAGCUCCAGUCGCAGCUCCUUCUUUUCUUGUUGAAUCUGCUUCUCCUGGAUGCGAGCAUUAUCCAAAGCAACUUUCAGCAGACCCUGUCAAGAAAUAUUGUUGACCUGAAUGUUGGUCAACAGAGUCUCCACGGAGGACAGACUAUCAGCAAAAAUGAAUGGUCCAGGGAAUCCAGCGGGCAAUGCCUGCCCAGGAGUCAGCUGUAUCUUGUCCAAGGGUGACUUCAUUAUUGGAAUUUGAACUGGUACCUCUUCUGCAAAAACAAAAUUAGUAUCAGAAGGUUCACAGAUUAAGAGCUCAAAAGUCUCACUAAGCCACCUCUACUAAGCAUCUAUAAAGAUUUUGUUUCUAAAACUAAAUGACUGACAUUCUCAUAAUUAGAAGUCAUAUUUAUUCUCCAGCUGCCUCUAAUUUCAAAAAAUAAAUAUUUCAGUAAAGAACUUGUGAAACUGAAACAAUGCUUAUGGCUAAAGAGGUAUGAAAUCUGGAGAAAAAACUUAAGAUACAUACAAUUGACAAUAUGUGCUUAUGAAUAUCUAUAAAUUAAAUAUUCAGAUCACUUCCUGGAAAAACAAGCAACAUUUUAUUUUUUCCUCUCUAAAUCUAUUAAUCAAUCAAUUUAUUUAUCUUGAUUAUUUUAACAGCUUUAUCAAAAAAUAAUUUACAUACAAUAAAAUUCACCUAUUUUAAGUAUACACUUCAUUUUUAGUAAAUUUCUAGAGUUGUCUAAUCAUUACCACAAACCUAUUUUAGAACAUCUUAAUUUCCCCUAUAAAGACUCCUCAUGUCCAUUUACAGUUAAUCUUCUUUCCCACCUCAGCCCCUAAAAACCAUUAAUCUGCCUUAUCUCCAAAGAUUUGCCUUUUCUGAAUGUUUCAUAUAAAUAGAAUCCUACGAUACAUGGUUUUUUUGUGCCUGGCUUCUUUCUCUUAGCAUGUUUUUUAAGCUUAUCCAUGUUGUGGCAGGUAUCAGUAGUUUAUUUUUAUUGCUGAAUAGUAUUUUGUUUCAUGAAUAUACUAGCUUGCGUUUAAACAUUUUCUAGUUGAUGACUAUUUGGAUUGUUUCCAGUGUUACUUUUUAUUUCAUGGAAUAUCCCUUAUCAGAAAAUAACACGUAUGACAUAAAAUCACAAGUUACAUCUAUUCUCUCUUUUAUUUUUAUGUUGUAUUCUUCAAUAUUCUCAUUACUCUAUAAAGAGCUAUGAGUAGAAUUUUUGUUUAUAAAUAUGUUUUAUAUUUGCUUUAAAACAGAUAUACCUAAUUAUAAAGGGAAUCCCCUCCUACUUUGAGAACCCUGAAUACUUGGUUAUUCUGGCUGACAGUCUUUCAUAUGACCUGUACGAAUUAGAUAAAUUUUCUUCUGUAACUACGUAUGUAAAAAGAAACUGCCACAGAGAGGUAAUCUCGGGAUGUUAACGAAAGAAAUUCAGUUACUCUUAGUUGAGUUCAUCAGCAGUGCAUGAUGGGGUGAAUCAUAGCACCUCAAACAGUUAUGCUGCUCACUGGAGUAUCUUAAUUUCAGCAAGAGAGCACAGGCAAAGUUUAAAAAGUAUGCAUCUCUCUGGUCAGAAAAAACAUUCAGUGACUCCAUAUAUUCUAAUGAGACUCACUCAAGAAAAAAGACUUGGCUUAAAUCUAGACAUAACCAAUUUCACAUGGUUUGGAAACAAAAAAAGAUGUCUAUUGGUUCUGGUUCCUAUAGGUAUGGAAUAUGGACUUCAUUUUCCUAUUGCAAGCAGCCUACAUAUGCAGUGUGCAGAGUCUUGAGCCCCAUUAAUUUAACAGUUACCUUUUGCUGUGGAAUUUCUUGUGUGGCAAGUUGUGCCAUUCAUUUGUGGGAAACUUCAGUGAGAUUAUUUAGUACUAUCUCUGAAUAAAAGGCUCUUACUAUAUAUCACCUUUACAUUUUUUAUUUUUCCAAACCAAUAGCAAUUUAAAAAAAUGCUAUAUGAUUAUAUUAGAGUCAACAGUUUCACACUGUUUGAAUCCAAAUAUUAAAAAGAGCAUUUGUUUAUUGACCUUAAAUAAUUCAAUAAAAUGCAUGAACUAUACCAUUAAUUUUCUUUAGCACAGAAAGCUAUGAGAAUAACUUCCUAGGAAUUAUUUUUUAGUAAAGCUUUGAAAACAAUAUUUUGUUCACAGAUGCAAAUGUUUUCUACAACUCACUCGUAGUUUAUUUUCAUACUCUAGUUACGUAACUCUAUUUAAAAUUAACGCUAAACUCUUACAAGACAUUUGCCUCUCUACUUUUUUUUUUAUAAAGUCAGUGGUAGGUUUAGAAGAGGUAAAUUAUUCCAGAGAGAAUCAGCACAUUAUCACAAAUUCUGUGACCUUAUUCAGCUACAUGGUUUCUUUUGAAGUAUUAUCUCAUAAAAACACUAUUAAAACAUGUCUUAGGCAGCAGAUCUAAGGUUUCUAAGGCACAUUUCUCAACAAUUAACCACAGUGUUAUGCUUCAAUUGCAUUGUUUGAUGUCUACAUUUAAGUAGUAUUUUUUCUUCUCCACGUGAAUGCAUUAAGUGGAUGGAAUGACUUUAUAAUGAUGAUAUAUCAAUAUUUAUAAUAGCUGGAAAGGUUCUGUACUUUUAUACUGAUGUUUAUAAAUCUUAAAGUAUUAAUUUAUGUAGCCUGGAAAAGCUACUAUUAUAAAAUGAAGUGCUACGAAGUUAUAACAUUAACUUCUUGCUGAUUCAGAGACAAUAUAAUCAUUUCCCUGAAUAAAUAUUUUGUGUCAAGGAGAGAGUUCUUAAAAUAAUGAAUUCAUUGUUACAUAUCACCUACACAUAUGUAUAACCUCAGUGGUGAGACUCUGAGGAUUGCUUUACAAACAAGAUAGCUGAAAAGGAAAGCAAUACAUUCAGUAUGCAGAAAACAAAAUUAUAACUACAUUAAAUUUGUUGGAAGUCUUCUAUUUGAAGAUGAAAAAAAUGCCAUUAAAUUGGCUGAAAGGAAAAUUAUAUUGACGAUGAAGACAGGUUGCAUGGUCUAUGGUUUGUAAUGUUGCUGUACAGUAAAUUGGAGUUUCAAAAUAGUAUUACUCUUCUUUAAAGAGAUAGACACAGCUGAAUUAGGUGUUGCUUGCUGCAGUGAGGAUCAAAUACAAAAAGAAUCAUAUUUCAUCAGACCUAGUCAACACCAGGAGAAUAAAUAGAAAUAUAAGAGGUAUGCAGGCAAUGAUUCAUUUUGAUAAUGUGGCUCAAGAGAGACACAUAGAGACAGCACACGGAUCUAAGCUUCUAUCAAAAGACAAAUAGGACACAGAGGGUGGGAACUGGGAUGACAGUGUAGCAGAGGUCACAUCGAUUUUCAGCAGCAGUUUUAACAUGGAUGAGAUAACCCUGGACUCUAUUUGGCCCAUUGUUCAUAUCCUACCUGUCCCACAAGCAAUAAAUUUCCUAGUCCUAGAAAAAGGGCCAUAAAGAAGAAGGAUUCUACUUAUGACUUCUUAUGAUUAAGUUUCUGUGCUAACCAAACAUGCUUUUCACACCAAGGUCACAUUGCAUGUUAAGGUCCAUAAUAGCCCAAAAGCAGUAGAAGUGUAUUAUGUUUUAGUGUAUGCAAGAGGAAACUGUCAAACCAUACAUCAGAUUUUUUUUUCCUAUUUAACUCGUUUGCUACAAAAAUGAAUGGUAAAUGAACUGGAAAUCAAUUUCAAUCUUGUAAUAUAUUUUUACAUCUGAACAGCAUCUGAAUUUUGCUCAGAAUUUAAAUAAGUGCACUGUUAUGUAGGAGUUUACUAGAUAGGGUUGAAAAAUCCUAAUUGGCAAUACAAUUUUAAAUGGGCAAGUUCUAGAAACAUAGGCUAUUGGUUAAAUAAGAGCAUCUCUUAUUAAACCCAGGAAAAAGGAUUUUGAUUUUUUUUAUUUAAAAAGCUGGUAUUCAAAAUGUAAAUAGUAAAACCUUUAUCAGCACAUAGAACAUAAUAGUAUAAACUACAAAGUAAGAAUAGGAGAACUGCCAUCUAGUCAAGGACAUGAGUGAUCUCUUCACUUAUUAAAGCAAAGUGGAAACCACUUUUAUUAAGCCUGUUUGUUAAACCUGCCAUACUUUGUAAUAGCACUUGGGCAUCCACUUAGAGAAUAAGCUCCAUUUUAACUUAUUUCGUAGAGCCCAGAUGAAUAGAUAUAAAAGUUGACAAGAACUUUUGUAGGAAAAAAAGAUAAAUAUAUAGUGAAUACUCAAAAUAGAAAAAUCACCCAGAAAAUUAAGUCCAGGCUGCUAGAGGCUCUCUACAUGACUCUAAUGCUUAUUUUCCCAUUUUGCAUGGAGUGUGUCUCCUCUGGGCUUUAAGGAUUGUGAUACAGGAAUAUAAACAACACAGCUGACUAACUCAGCAGUAGAAAAUUGUAGCUACCUACCAGGUCAUCAGUUUUAUUCGUUAUCAAGUAAAUUAUACUUUAUUAUUUUAUUUGAGAUCUUUUCCCUAAAUACUAUUGUCCCAGGUGACCCAUUUUUUUUUUUUUUGGCAAUGUCAUUAUUAUUACAUUCAGGACAAGUGAGACACCUGCUUCCCUCUAACAAACUGAGGAACAAUUACAACAAUAAAAUGACCAACUGCUGUGUAAUGUGACUUGUGUGAAUAUAAGGAAGUGUACAUAGCUUCAAUGACUCCUCAAGUAUUGCCAUCAUCAAAUGUGGAAAAGCUUGAUCCCCAAAUUGUUGUAUUUCUUUAAGGAGAUGAAAUAAAAAUAAUACAGAUAAAUGAAAACAGAAAGCUAGUAGCAAAGGAAUGAAGACGUACCAGCCUGAGAAAGUGACACAGAUACUCUAAAACCAAUUAUGCUCAUUUGCUGUGGAUCCUUAGAUUAGCAAUUUCACAUAACAGGCUCCUUUAUAAAUCAUGUAUUGGAAUUCAGUCAUCUUUCAGACAAAAUGUUAUUCCAAUAACAAAUAUUAUGUCCAGUAAAAGGUUUGGAAGAAGUAUGACACCCAGUUCUUGUCAUUAAGGAGCGGAUACAUUAUUUAGGAAAACAGUGGACACUUAAGCUUGAAUCAUGUUCAUGUGGCAUAGAUUGUUAUUUGCCUCUAGGAGUUCAAAGAAGAGAUCACUGUACUUUGGAAUGAACCCUUAAUAAUCUGUUCACUCUCUAGCUGAAAGGCAUUCCCACUGUCCUUAGACUAAAGCCCCACAGAACUUCCACGUGAUAUUAGGUGUUCUAACAAGAAAAGCUUCGUUGCUCAAAUUAGUGUUGAGAAAACAGGCCUAAACAAUAUUUAACAAUUUUCCUUAAAGCUAGGAUUGCUAGAUACAUUACAG
rnacentral:lncRNA from 10 species